rnacentral:tRNA from 1 species
GCCCCCGUGGCGGAAUUGGUAGACGCGCUCGACUCAAAAUCGAGUUCCCAAAAGGAGUGUCCGUUCGACCCGGACCGGGGGCACCA